rnacentral:rRNA from 1 species
AGAGCCAANUACUGCAGUCGAACGAGAGACCUUCGGGUCUCUAGUGGCGAACGGGUGAGUAACACGUAGGGAACCCGCCCGCGCACCGGGAAUACGCUCUGGAAACGGAGAACAAAUCCCGAUGUACAGGAAGGAGGCAUCUUCUUUCUGUGAAACAUCCUUUAGGGGAUGGGGCGCGGAUGGACCUGCGGUGCAUUAGUUGGUUGGCGGGGUAAAGGCCCACCAAGACGAUGAUGCAUAGCCGGCCUGAGAGGGCGGACGGCCACAUUGGGACUGAGACACGGCCCAGACUCCUGCGGGAGGCAGCAGUAGGGAAUUUUCGUCAAUGGGCGCAAGCCUGAACGAGCGAUGCCGCGUGAGUGAAGAAGGCCUUCGGGUCGUAAAGCUCUGUUGCGGGGGAAAAAAGGCAGCAUCAGGAAAUGGGUGCUGACUGAUGGUGCCCCGCCAGAAAGUCACGGCUAACUACGUGCCAGCAGCCGCGGUAAUACGUAGGUGGCGAGCGUUAUCCGGAAUGAUUGGGCGUAAAGGGUGCGCAGGCGGUCCUGCAAGUCUGGAGUGAAACGCAUGAGCUCAACUCAUGCAUGGCUUUGGAAACUGGAGGACUGGAGAGCAGGAGAGGGCGGUGGAACUCCAUGUGUANCGGUAAAAUGCGUAGAUAUAUGGAAGAACACCAGUGGCGAAGGCGGCCGCCUGGCCUGUUGCUGACGCUGAAGGACGAAAGCGGGGGAAACAAAUAGGAAUAAAUACCCU